rnacentral:rRNA from 1 species
ACUUGACCUGCGCCGACUAU